rnacentral:rRNA from 1 species
GUGGCAACCUGCCCUGAGGACUGGAAUAAUCCCGGGAAACUGGGUAUUCCAGAUAUGUCAGAACACCUGGAAUGGUUCUGGCAGAAAUCUCCGGCGCCUCAGGAUGGGUCUGCGGCCUAUCAGGGUAGUAGUGGGUGUAACGUACCUACUAGCCUACGACGGGUACGGGUUGUGAGAGCAAGGCCCGGAGAUGGAUUCUGAGACAUGAAUCCAGGCCCUACGGGGUGCAGCAGGCGCGAAUACAAUGCGGGCAACCGCGAUAAGGGGACCUCGAGUGCUGGGUUACAAACCUGGCUGUUGGGCUGCCUAAAAAGCAGUCUAUAGCAAGGGCCGGGCAAGACCGGUGCCAGCCGCCGCGGUAACACCGGCUCGAGUGGUAACCGCUGUUAUUGGGUCUAAAGGGUCUGUAGUGCCGGCUAGUCUCUUGGGAAAUCUGGCAUCUCAAGUGUCAGCUGCAGGGGAUACUGGCCUGGGACCGGGAGAGGUGAGAGGUACCUCAGGGGUAGGGUAAAUCUUGUAAUCCUUGAGGGACCACCAGUGGCGAAGGCGUCUCACCAGAACGGAUCCGACGGCAAGGGACGAAAGCUAGGGGCACGAACCGGAUUAGAUACCCGGGUAGUCCUAGCCGUAAACGAUACUCGCUAGGUGUCGGCCACGGUGCGACCGUGCGGUGCCGUAGGGAAGCCGUGAAGCGAGCCACCUGGGAAGUACGGCCGCAAGGCUAAACUUAAAGGAAUUGGCGGGGGAGCACCACAACGGGUGGAGCAACGCCGGAAAGCUUACCGGGGGCGACAGCAAUAUGAAGGUCAGGCUGAAGACCUUACCGGAUUCGCUGAGAGGUGGUGCAUGGCCGUCGUCAGUUCGUACUGUGAAGCAUCCUGUUAAGUCAGGAACGAGCGAGACCCACGCCUACAGUUGCCAGCGAUCCCU